GAGCUCACUUCAGCAGCACAUAUACUAAAGUUAGAAUGAUGCACAGAAGAUUUUCACGACCCCUUCACAGAAAUGACUUGCAAAUUCAUGGAGCAUUGUAUAUUUUU
ensembl:snRNA U6 U6 spliceosomal RNA